UACCUGGUUGAUCCUGCCAGUAGUCAUAUGCUUGUCUCAAAGAUUAAGCCAUGCAUGUCUAAGUAUAAGUUUUUUACUGCGAAACUGUGAAUGGCUCAUUAUAACAGUUAUUAUUUCCUAGCCGGUCAGUUAUUCCUUGGAUACCCAUGGUAAUUCUAGAGCUAAUACAUGCUUACAGACCCAACUUCACGGAAGGGUUGCGCUUAUUAGAUACCGAACCAACCCCGCAAGGGAUUUAGUUGAUUCAUAGUGUUCUGGCGAAUCGACUUCUAGUCGAUGAGGCUAUCAAGUUUCUGACCUAUCAGCUUCCGACGGUAGGGUAUUGGCCUACCGUGGCUUUGACGGGUAACGGAGAAUUAGGGUUCGAUUCCGGAGAGGGAGCCUGAGAAACGGCUACCACAUCUAAGGAAGGCAGCAGGCGCGUAAAUUACCCAAUCCUGACACAGGGAGGUAGUGACAAGAAAUAUCAAUAUAAGACUUUUGUGUCUUGUAAUUGGGAUGAGCGGAACUUAAAUCGCUUCUCGAGUAUCAAUUGGAGGGCAAGUCUGGUGCCAGCAGCCGCGGUAUUCCAGCUCCAAUAGC
rnacentral:rRNA from 1 species